UAAUUAUCAUAGUUCUUGUCGGAGUCUGGAGUCUAAAAUGGAUUUUGGACUCUGCUGCCUGCCUACAUCCGAUGGUAAAAUUGCUUUUGGUCUCGCCUGCCUGCCUACAUCCGAUGGUAAAAUUGAUUUUGGUCUCGCCUGCCUACAUCCGAUGGUAAAAUUGAUUUUGGUCUCGCCCGCCUGCCUACAUCCGAUGGUAAAAUUGAUUUUGGUCUCGCCAGAUUACAUCUAGAGAUGGAAGACUUCAGAGGAAAGUUAAGAUUGUUAAAUGAUAGCUUUGAAAAUUGGGCUUUAUAACACUAAAAGAAAUUUCUAAACUCUAUAAAAGUUGAUCUAUCUGCAUCUUAGAACAGAUAAAAAUAUCUGGAAUCCUGUUACCAAAUUAGUUCUGAUUUAUUUUUCUAAAUUGUUAAUAUUAGAAAAGAGGUUAAUAUUAGUUCUAAAUCUUUAAUUCACAUCAAUCUAACAUUUUGCAUCCGCUUACUUAGGUUCCCUCAUAGAUUUUUAGAUUAAGAGCAUAAACUUUUAUUUUCAGAUUUUUUUAAAACUUUUUCAAAUUUUUUGUUACAAUUGUGUUCGUAUUGCUCUUAUGGAAACAAUGUAUUUACUCUGCUUUAGUGUUAUCAGCUCUAACUUAAAAUAAGCGGUAAAACUUCUCUUUAAUGUAAUGUGUGUGUUCAAUAAAUUUUCAGGAAUGUAAAUGUAAUGUGUGUGUUCAAUGAAUUUUCAGCAAUGUAAAUGUAAUGUGCGUGUUCAAUGAAGUUUCAGCAAUGUAAAUGUAAUGUGUGAGUUCAAUGAAGUUUCAGCAAUGUAAAUGUAAUUUGUGUGGUUCAAUGACGUUUCUGGAAUGUAAAUGUAAUUUGUGUGGCUCAAUAAAUUUUUGCUUUUAAAAUGAU